GGAUGUGAGGGUCAUCUGGCUGAGACAUCUGUCACCCUACUGAUGGCCAGGGUUGAUUCAGCUGAUCUGGCCGGCUAGGUGGGUGUUCCCUUUCUCACAGCUCCAUGUGCGUCUCUCCUGAGGUUGCUUGGUCAAAGAGUAUGACUUUUCAUGAUAGAGGAGGAUUAUUCUUCAGUCAAGCGUAUGUAAGUCUUUGUGCUCUCCUGUUAGGACCUCCCAAAAAGAUAUGUGUAUGUAAAUUAAUAUAUAUAUAUUUGAUUAUGUAUAAUUUAGUUAUGUGCAAACCACA
rnacentral:snRNA from 1 species